UAUACUUUGGAGUAAUGAGACAAAGAUCUUUGUGGUUCUGAAGUGUUCCAAACUGUAUGGUGUGGAAAGGGUGAAGAGAACAACAAAGAAUGCAUGGUACCAAAAGUAAAGCAUGGUGGUGGCAGUUAUCUUCUGUGGACUUGAAUGAGUUGUGCAGGUGUCAGAGAGUUGAAUAUAUAAACGGCAUCAUGAAUACACAGAUGUACUGAGAAAUACUUAAAGAGAAGAUGCUACCAUCACUCUGAGCCCUUGGUCACCGGGUAAUCUUUUAAUGUGAUUGUGACUCAAAACACACAUCUAAGGUCACUCAUUCAUUUUGGAAGAAGCACAGGGUAAAAGUGAUUCACACCCCAUCCCAGGUUGAGGUAUGGGGAGUUCUGAAAAGACAAGCAGAAGGUCAUUUUCCAUCCAGGAUCUGAAAGAGGUUAUUGUUCAAGAAUGGAGAAUUAAAGAUUUAACUAUAAAUACAGAAUUUAAGCACAUUACCACAGUGCUGCUACAGUCCAGAUUUCUUUCAGAUUGGAUAAACUUCUAAAGCUGUUUAAAAAGUGAGAAGACCAGAUAGGAAGAAGACUGCAGACUAUCAUGGAACCUGAGGCUCAAGCUGCAGAUAAAACCUUCAUCCAAUAAGGCAUUGAGGAGACCAGAGUGGGAACUUAUACCUUCUCAAACACAAAGAUGCCCUUGAUAAACCAGAGGACAUUGGGAUUAUCCUUGAAAGGCAGAUCUUCAGUGAUUUGUGAACUUCAGAACUUUGCAUCAGCUGCUGCUAUGUUAUAUGGACUAAUGUAUGCUUUUAACGUCAACUACCCAUCUGAACUAAUGUAUACCUUUGAUGUACACCAGAAUUUGGUGAUAGAAAGUGUGAGUUCUAAACAAACUUUAUGUGUGAGCUGUUUCCAUGUUAUUGCAGGCCUGCACAAUGUACUUUCCUGUGCUGUGUAUGCCUCUUGGAAUAAGGAUUUUAUGCACACAAAGCACAUAUGGAAAGGUUGACCACAAUGUUUGUUUUGGUUGUUCAUGUGGAUUUCUAUUGAAGCAAAGAUGCAGUAGGCAUCUUAUAUGAAGUUCUGAAUGGUAAGAAAUUAACUGUUACCAAACUUGUUAAUUUUGUUGAAAUGAUCUGUAAACUUAAACAAAAAUACAAAUGGAUUUAGGGAGUUAACUUUCCCAGUAGGCUUACAUCUAUUUCACAGUGUCCAUUUUAGUCAUUUUUGGCAAUAUACUCCUCCCGCACUAAGUGAACCAAACAGUAUGUGUUAUUAGGAUUCAACCUCAUCCACCAGUAACUCAAUGUCUGUGUCUGUAAAUUUCCUCUUUUUCGCUCUCUUUGCCAUUUUUGCAGUGAGGGAAGAGCACAACCACGUCACUUACAAAGGGAGGUGUUGUCACCAUAUAUGGUUCAUUGGAGGCAUUUCGGAAUGCAAGAAUCCAUGAAGGUGCACGAGCAUGGAGCUU